ensembl:rRNA 5S_rRNA 5S ribosomal RNA
AUCUAUGGCCAUACAACUCUGAACACACCCAGUCUCCUCUGAUCUCAGAAGCUAAGCAGGGUUGGGCCUAGUUAAUACUUGGGUGGGAGAAGUAUCUGCAGAAGGUUUGUUGCUGUGGUCU